rnacentral:rRNA from 1 species
CAUGAACGUUGGCGGCGUGGAUUAGGCAUGCAAGUCGCGCGAGAAGUCAUUUAGCUUGCUAAAAGACGGACAGCGGCGGAAGGGAGAGUAACGCGUGGUUAUGUACCCUCGAGACCGGGAUAGUGUCGGGAAACUGGCAGUAAUACCGGAUAACAUCUUCGGAUCAAAUGGUGUGAUUCCGCUCGAGGAUCGGACCGCGUACUAUCAGCUAGUUGGAGGGGUAAUGGCCCACCAAGGCUUAGAUGGUUACCGGGUGUGAGAGCAUGGCCCGGCUCACUGGGACUGAGACACUGCCCAGACAUCUACGGAUGGCUGCAGUCGAGAAUCUUCGGCAAUGGACGAAAGUCUGACCGAGCGACGCCGCGCGCGGGAUGAAGGCCUUCGGGUUGUAAACCGCUGUCAGUUAGGAGGAAAACCAUGAGGGUUCUCUCUCAUGGUUGACCGAUUUUCAGAGGAAGGACGGGCUAAGUUUGUGCCAGCCGCCGCGGUAACAC